rnacentral:lncRNA from 1 species
CCUUCUAGAUUAUUAAAUCCCAAAUAUAAUUCUCUGAGUUGUGUCAGAUUUCCAAUACUUCUUGGAAUGAUCCCCGUCAAUUGAUUCAAGGACAAGGACAAAUUAUUAAGGUUGCUGCACUUGCCCAUACUUGACGAAAUGUUACCAGAUAACUCAUUGCUCUGCAAGUAAAGCCCUUCAAGCUUGGGAAGAUGUUGACACAUAUCAUUAGGUAAACUACCUGGUAGGCUAUUGCUGGAGAGAUCAAUGGUCUUCGAAGAAGAAAUGUUGGAGACCGAAGUUGGAAUCUGACCUGUAACGCCUUUAAUUGCUUCAAUAUUAAGCAAUUCCAAACCAAGAAGAUUACCGAUUUCCUCAGGAAUUUGGCCUGCACACAUAGUCGAAAAAUCAAGGUGUCAAACUACCUAUUUUGUUAGCAUAAGUCAAAGAGGUUUUCUUUUCUGUUCUAUAGUAAGUUGGAGAUGUUAGAUUUUCAUAUAUUUCAGCAUAUGUUUUUCAUCAAAUGAAAUAAAAACUUUUUUCUUUUGUUAUCUAUUACAAAUCAAACUCUUUUAUAAAAAAAUACUUAAAAUUCAAGAAAUCAAGGAAAUUGAUUACCUUCUAGAUUAUUAAAUCCCAAAUAUAAUUCUCUGAGUUGUGUCAGAUUUCCAAUACUUCUUGGAAUGAUCCCCGUCAAUUGAUUCAAGGACAAGGACAAAUUUUUAAGGUUGCUGCACUUGCCCAUACUUGACGGAAUGUUACCAGAUAACUCAUUGCUAUGCAAGUAAAGCACUUCAAGCUUGGGAAGAUGUUGACACAUAUCAUUAGGCAAACUACCUAAUAGGCUAUUGUUGGAGAGAACAAUGGUCUUCAGAGAAGAAAUGUUGAAGAUCGAAUUUGGAAUCUGACCUGUAACGCCUUUAAUUGCUUGAAUAUUAAGCAAUUCCAAACCAUGAAGAUUACCGAUUUCCUCAGGAAUUUGACCUGCACACAUAGUCGAAAAAUCAAGGUGUCAAACUACCUAUUUUGUUAGCAGAAGUCAAAGAGGUUUUCUUUUCUGUUCUAUAGUAAUUUGGAGAUGUUAGAUUUUCAUAUAUUUCAGCAUAUGUUUUUCAUCAAAUGAAAUAAAAACUUUUUCCUUUUGUUAUCUAUUACAAAUCAAACUCUUUUAUAAAAAAAAUACUUAAAAUUCAAGAAAUCAAGGAAAUUGAUUACCUUCUAGAUUAUUAAAUCCCAAAUAUAAUUCUCU